rnacentral:other from 1 species
GCGUUCCUGAAAUGUUCGGAUAAACCUGUAUUUUGAACCUACAUUUCUGAAUCGGGAGUCCUUGUUUGUCGGAAGAUGUCAGGCCUCAAUUAAAUUCCGCCCUGUGCCAAAAGGCGCAGGCAACGGCGGGGGAAGGCUGAGAACCGCCAACGGUACACCCACCUAGCUGAGGGCUAGGUGUCAAAAUACGGGGGAACGGCAUUUUGGGACCAAU